rnacentral:rRNA from 1 species
AACGAACGCUGGCGGCAUGCCUAACACAUGCAAGUCGAACGAGACCUUCGGGUCUAGUGGCGCACGGGUGCGUAACGCGUGGGAACCUGCCCUUAGGUUCGGAAUAACUCCCCGAAAGGGGUGCUAACACCGGAUAAUGUCUUCGGACCAAAGAUUUAUCGCCUUUGGAUGGGCCCGCGUUGGAUUAGCUAGUUGGUAGGGUAAAAGCCUACCAAGGCGACGAUCCAUAGCUGGUCUGAGAGGAUGAUCAGCCACACUGGGACUGAGACACGGCCCAGACUCCUACGGGAGGCAGCAGUGGGGAAUAUUGGACAAUGGGCGAAAGCCUAAUCCAGCAAUGCCGCGUGAGUGAUGAAGGCCUUAGGGUUGUAAAGCUCUUUUACCCGGGAUGAUAAUGACAGUACCGGGAGAAUAAGCUCCGGCUAACUCCGUG